GUAACACUCGCCACUGCCGUCCACGGCUUCAUUCCUUGAAGCCGUGAGACCACGAACCCUUCGAUUGAGAAGAACCUUCGGUCGGAAGAAGACUUCUCGUCUCAGUAACAAUAACAAGAAAAACAGCCUAGACUAGACGCACAUCAGGAAGACAGGUACCCAGCAUAACCCCAUUGAAGAGCUGUUCCCUGGGACCUGGAGAGGAACACAGCAGGCUGCCAUGCCCACUGCACCUGCAGUGUCGGCCACAGCCGCAGAAUAAACAUGUGGAGAAGGUCAUUGAUCACCUUGACUGAAGCACUGCAGACAAGAUAAAGACAGCCUGAUGCAGAGGAAGAUUGAGGACUAAGGGGCUUCAUCCACAGUUAAUCCCGUCAUGUAUUGACCCGGAAACAUCAUCUCAUUUGCCUAUAAGACAGAGAGAGAGAAUGAUAGAAAUGCUGGAAGAACGAGCCUUGGGGCGGUAUCGCCCAGAUCUGAAUCCACACAGCAGCUGCUUCGGUCCCUGUAACUCAAGGCUUCCUCUUAAUCCUCUGUCCUCCAUCAACACCUGGCUGAGCAGGAACAACUAUGACCUAGGACCAGGGCCUUCAGGAAUCUUCACCCCUAACUUGAACUUCAUAACACUGGAGAGAGAGACUGUGGAAUGGAAUGACUCUCCAGAGCUGCAGAUUGAAGGCAUAUUUUCAUCUGACUUUGGUGAUUAUGUUUCCAAUCUCUCUGGGAAUAAGAUCUCAAUGGCGGGAACACCUUCAUGGCCCCUUUAUAGCUGGUAUGUUUUCUUCUUAUGGACAAUGAGAAACAUGUAAUAAACUGUGUUUCCUUCUCGCUAGGAAA
rnacentral:lncRNA from 1 species